GUCUAUGGCCAUGCCACCCUGAACAUGCCCACCCUCAGCUGAUCUCGGAAGAUAAGUGGGGUUGGGCCUGGUUAGUACUUCGAUGGGAGAGAGUAAUGAUUUCUGUUGUUU
rnacentral:rRNA from 1 species